AGAGUUUGAUCCUGGCUCAGAACGAACGCUGGCGGCAGGCCUAACACAUGCAAGUCGAACGAGAAGCCACCUUCGGGUGGUGGACAGUGGCAGACGGGUGAGUAACGCGUGGGAACGUGCCUUUCGGUUCGGGAUAACCCAGGGAAACUUGGGCUAAUACCGGAUACGCCCUUCGGGGGAAAGAUUCAUUGCCGAAAGAUCGGCCCGCGUCUGAUUAGCUAGUUGGUGAGGUAACGGCCUACCAAGGCUACGAUCCGUAGCUGGUCUGAGAGGACGACCAGCCACACUGGGACUGAGACACGGCCCAGACUCCUACGGGAGGCAGCAGUGGGGAAUAUUGGACAAUGGGGGAAACCCUGAUCCAGCAAUGCCGCGUGAGUGAUGAAGGCCUUAGGUAG
rnacentral:rRNA from 1 species